rnacentral:rRNA from 1 species
GCCCUUCGGGGUACAUCAGUGGCGGACGGCUGAGUAACGCGUAGAUAACGUGCCCUUUACUGGGGGAUAACACCGGGAAACCGGUGCUAAUACCGCAUAAGUCGCAGCUUGAAAUAGUUGUGAUUAAAGAUUUAUUGGUAAAGGAUCGGUCUGCGUCUGAUUAGCUUGUUGGUGAGGUAAAGGCUCACCAAGGCAAUGAUCAGUAGUUGGUCUGAGAGGAUGACCAGCCAGAGUGGGACUGAGACACGGCCCACACUUCUACGGAAGGCAGCAGUAGGGAAUUUUGCGCAAUGGGCGAAAGCCUGACGCAGCAACACCGCGUGCGGGAUGACGGCCUUCGGG